GCUCUUUUUUGUGUCGCUAUGCUUACGGGAUACGAGCAGGCAUUAUUUUGCUUUGGCGGUAUCGAAGCUUCACCAUGUACAAAUCAUGCGUGUUGUUUUCCGCUAAAUUGCAGAACGGACAAUACCUGUACUUUUAAACCUCUUAACAAAUAAAGCUGAAAUGUCCUACAUUCUUACCGGAAGAAGAAGGAGAAAUGAGAACUUUGAAUUUCCGCGAAUCCCUGCCUAUAAUUUCUUACAAGCAUGGAUUUUGUUAUACACAUUCGAAUUUCCAAUUCUCGCCUCGACGACCAUCGCUUGAUCAGGAUUGCCUCGGAAAUUAAAAUUACUUUAAUGGCAUUAGUUUGUCGAAUUAUCAAGUCAAGUUAAUAAUGUAACGAUAACUUAAACUGUGUGAAUUUAUUUAGAGAUUUUUAUUUCUUUCAAAAAUGUUGAAUUAUACCCACAUUACGAUUCUUUACAAGCAUUUAAAAACUGAUGCGUUUUAUCCUAUCUAUUGUAUGUUUCUCAAAAUUUAAAUAAAAAAUAUUAUACCAUUGCAAA